AACGAACGCUGGCGGCAUGCCUAACACAUGCAAGUCGAACGAGACCUUCGGGUCUAGUGGCGCACGGGUGCGUAACGCGUGGGAAUCUGCCCUUUGCUUCGGAAUAACAGUUAGAAAUGACUGCUAAUACCGGAUGAUGUCUUCGGACCAAAGAUUUAUCGGCAAAGGAUGAGCCCGCGUAGGAUUAGGUAGUUGGUGGGGUAAAGGCCUACCAAGCCGACGAUCCUUAGCUGGUCUGAGAGGAUGAUCAGCCACACUGGGACUGAGACACGGCCCAGACUCCUACGGGAGGCAGCAGUGGGGAAUAUUGGACAAUGGGCGAAAGCCUGAUCCAGCAAUGCCGCGUGAGUGAUGAAGGCUCGGUCGUAAGACUCUUUACUCGGUACGGAUAAUAGACGGUACCGACGAGGAAUAAGACCCGGCCGUAACUACCGUUACGCCACG
rnacentral:rRNA from 1 species